UGGCUCAGUGGGUAAAGUGUCUGCCUGCAAUGCAGGAGACCUGGGUUCGAUCCCAG
rnacentral:tRNA from 1 species